rnacentral:rRNA from 1 species
UGGGGAAUAUUGCACAAUGGGCGAAAGCCUGAUGCAGCAACGCCGCGUGAGCGAUGAAGGCCUUCGGGUCGUAAAGCUCUGUCCUCAAGGAAGAUAAUGACGGUACUUGAGGAGGAAGCCCCGGCUAACUACGUGCCAGCAGCCGCGGUAAUACGUAGGGGGCUAGCGUUAUCCGGAAUUACUGGGCGUAAAGGGUGCGUAGGUGGUUUCUUAAGUCAGAGGUGAAAGGCUACGGCUCAACCGUAGUAAGCGCUUGAAACUGGAGGACUUGAGUGCAGGAGAGGAGAGUGGAAUUCCUAGUGUAGCGGUGAAAUGCGUAGAUAUUAGGAGGAACACCAGUAGCGAAGGCGGCUCUCUGGACUGUAACUGACGCUGAGGCACGAAAGCGUGGGGAGCAAACA